rnacentral:rRNA from 1 species
GCGUUAAUCGGAAUUACUGGGCGUAAAGCGCGCGUAGGUGGUUCGUUAAGUUGGAUGUGAAAGCCCCGGGCUCAACCUGGGAACUGCAUCCAAAACUGGCGAGCUAGAGUAUGGCAGAGGGUGGUGGAAUUUCCUGUGUAGCGGUGAAAUGCGUAGAUAUAGGAAGGAGCACCAGUGGCGAAGGCGACCACCUGGGCUAAUACUGACACUGAGGUGCGAAAGCGUG